AUGCACAUUGAGAAAAACAUAUGCGAGAAUCUGCUAGGGAGGUUUCUGAACAUUGAAGGGAAGACAAAGGACAUGGUUAGUUCUAGGCUAGAUUUGGAGGACAUGGGCAUAAGAGAAGAUUUGCAUCUACAACACAAUGAAGAUGAAGAUUCAUUUGAAAUGCCACGAGCAUGGUAUACAAUGAGUAAAGAACAAAAGCUUGCAUUAUGUGAAUUCCUAAGAGCGCUGAAAUAUCCAGAUGGUUAUGCUGCUAACCUAGCAAAGUGUGUUACUUCUGAUGGAUUCAAGCUUUCAAUACUAAAAACCCAUGAUUGUCACAUCCUCCUCCAAAGGAUUUUACCGGCGGGCCUCCGAGGAAUCAUGGACAAGGAUAUAUAUGAAGCGGUUGCUGAGCUGGGAAAUUUCUUUAGAGAACUGUGCUGCAAAACACUCAAGUUAACUGUCCUGGAAAGACUUGAAAAAGAAAUCCCAAUUAUUCUUUGCAAGCUCGAGAAGAUUUUACCUCCAGCUUUCUUCACCGUGGUGGUCCAUUUGGCGGUGCACUUACCAAAAGAGGCAAAGCUUAGAGGCCCUAUGCAAUAUAGUUGGAUGUACCCAAUCGAAAGAAGGCUACUUACUUGUAAGCGUUAUGUGCGAAACACGGCAAGACCUGAAGGUUCGAUUGCUGAAGCAUAUGUCGUUGACGAGUGCUUGACUUUUUGCUCUAGAUACUUUGGCGAUGUGGAAACAAGAUGGAACUGGCCGGGCAGAAAUAGAGAGCGGUUUGAUUUGCAAAGUGGCGAUGUCUCUGUUCUAAACCAUGGUGUGAACUUUCUUGGAGCCUCAUAA
rnacentral:rRNA from 1 species